UGGCGGAAUGCUUUACNCAUGCAAGUCGAGCGGCNGCGCGGGGCNACCUGGCGGCGAGCGGCGAACGGGUGAGUAAUGUAUCGGAACGUGUCCUGUCGUGGGGGAUAGCCCGGUGAAAACCGGAUUAAUACCGCAUACGAUCGAGAGAUGAAAGUGGGGGACCGCAAGGCCUCACGCGAUAGGAGCGGCCGAUAUCUGAUUAGCUAGUUGGUGGGGUAAAGGCCCACCAAGGCGACGAUCAGUAGCUGGUCUGAGAGGAUGAUCAGCCACACUGGGACUGAGACACGGCCCAGACUCCUACGGGAGGCAGCAGUGGAGAAUUUUGGACAAUGGGGGGAACCCUGAUCCAGCCAUUCCGCGUGAGUGAAGAAGGCCUUCGGGUUGUAAAGCUC
rnacentral:rRNA from 1 species